AGCAAUUUUGCACAUGUUAGAUUAUACUAUCGAUAGAGUCUGAUUACUAUACCAUCGAUAGUACCAAGCGCUUGAUACUAUCGACUUUUUCUCUGUUAUACGUAUUCCUUUGAUCAUUUUUAUCUGUUAGAUCAUACUAUUUAACCAACCAUCACUCAAUCCUAAAGGAUCACUCCCAAACACUUACGCUAUUAUAGGUUUUCGACCCUUGCAUAAAAGAAUGUACGAUUAAGAUGAUAUGGGUUCUCUGGGGUUAAGUAAAUUGUUGGUUGAAUAGUAUAAUCUAACGGAUGAAAAUAGCCAAAGAGUUAAAUCUAAUGGUAAAAAACUCGGUAGCACCAAGCACUUGGUACUAUCAAUAGUAUCACAGCCGGACUCUCUCUCUCUCUCUCUCUCUCUUUCUCUCUCUCUCUCUCUCUCUCUCUCUCUCUCUAUAUAUAUAUAUACUCUUAUAAGUAUAGGUCUCUUUAUAAUUAUAAAUUUUCGACCGUUUGAUAAAGAGAUAUGCGGUUAGAAUAAUAAUAAUUCCCUAAGGUUGAGUGGAUGGUUUGUUAAGUAGUAUGAUCCAACGGAUGGAAAUAGUCAAAGAAGUAGGUUUAACGGCCGAAAACGUAUGAAUAUAGUUAGUAGCCAGACAAUAUACAUAUAUAUAUAUAUAGUUGAGCUAGAAUACUCUCAAAAGCACCAUGGGGGUGGUGCUUUUGAGUUUUUAGCCAUUGGAUGGAGAGAUGUGAGACUGAGAUGAUGGUGGUAGGUGGAAUAGUAUUUGAUCCAAGGGUUAUUAGUAAUCAAGAAGUAGAUCCAAUGGCUAAAAACCUAAUAGCACCAUGAGGGUGAUACUUGUAAAAGUAUUCUAGCUCAUAUAUAUAUAUAGAGAGAGAGAGAGAGAGAGAGUGAGUGAGGCUACUAUGCUUCUGGAAGCACAGAGCCUUCCGUGCUUUCAGAUCGUUUUUUAAGUUGCGACUUUCGAAUUGUCGAUCGGCUCCGUUAAACUUGAUCUAAAGUAUUUGAAGUAUUUAGAAAAUAAAUUUUGCAAUUUUUCGAUAUCAUUUGCCUAGUGAACUAAGGGGCUCAAAAUCAACGGCUGAAAAUAAAAAUCUUACAAAAUGUGAUAAUAUGACAUUAAAAUUUUAGAUCAAAGAUAUUGAUCUUGUUUUAUAUAGUAUAAAGAAUUUUCUAUCAAAAUUUCACAUGAUUUGAAUAUUUCUACACCAUUAAACUUGCAAACGGCUCACCACGGCCAUUAAAAUUAUUGAUUUUGAGUCCCUUCGAUCACUAGGCAAAUGAUAUCGAAAAAUCAUAAAAUUUAUUUUCUAAGUACUUCAAAUACUCUAGAUCAAGUUUAACGAAGCCGAUCGACGAUUCGAAAGUCGCAACAUCGAAAACGACCUAAAAACACGAAGGGCUCCGUAGUUCCAGAAGAUAGCCUCUCUCUCUCUCUCUCUCUCUCUCUCUCUCUCUCUCUCUCUCUCUCUCUCUCUAUAUAUAUAUAUAUAUAUAUAUAUAUAUAUAUAUAUAGCGAGGCUGGUAUACUAUCAGUAGCACGGAGGCCUCCGUGCUACCAAGUUGUUUUCAAUGAUACUGCUUCCAAAUCGACGAUCGGAUUCGUUAGACUUGAUUUAUACUAUUGAAAGUAUUUGGAAACUAAAUUUAUUAUUUUUCGGUAUCAUUUACCUAUCAAGCGAGUAAUCUAAAAAUGAACAGCUGAAAAUAAAAAUCUCAUAAAAAAUGAUGAUAAAAGACUUGAAUUUAAGAUCAGAAGUACUGAUCUUACUCUAAAUAGUGACAAAAAAUUUUUAUAAAAAUUCCAUCAUAUUUGGAUUGUUUUACACCGUUAAAUUCACAAACGCAUCACAUCUUCCAUUAAAAUUGUCAAUUUUGUGAACUUUUGAUCGUCAGGUAAAUGAUGUCGAAAAAAUUAAGAGAUUUGAUUCUUAGAAAUUUUAAAUGCUCUAAAUAAUAUUUAAUGGUACAGAUCGUCGAUUUGGAAGCUUUAUUGUCGAAAAUAAUUUAUGAGUACGAGAACAAUCGUACUCAUAAGAGUAUAGUAGCUGGACUCUACAUAUAUAAAACUCUUUAUACUGAUAAGUUUUUGACUGUUGGAUGAAGGGAUGUGCGGUUAGGAUUAUAGUAGUCCCCAGUUAAUUUAAUAGUGGUCCCAUAGAGUUAAGUGGUGGUUAGUUAAAUAGUAUGAUCUAACGGGUGAAAAUGGUUAGAGUAGAUCUAACGGUCGAAAAUUUAUGAGUUUAAAGAGCCUAUACUAAUAAGAAUAUAGUAGCCGAAAUAUAUAUAUAUGCACGUGAUGCUUCUCC
rnacentral:lncRNA from 1 species